CUUGCUUUUUCUAGGCGUCGACCGGCGCACGGGUGAGUAACGCGUAUCCAACCUGCCCAUCACUUGGGGAUAACCUUGCGAAAGUAAGACUAAUACCCAAUGAUAUCUCUAGAAGACAUCUGAAAGAGAUUAAAGAUUUAUCGGUGAUGGAUGGGGAUGCGUCUGAUUAGCUUGUUGGCGGGGUAACGGCCCACCAAGGCGACGAUCAGUAGGGGUUCUGAGAGGAAGGUCCCCCACAUUGGAACUGAGACACGGUCCAAACUCCUACGGGAGGCAGCAGUGAGGAAUAUUGGUCAAUGGGCGAGAGCCUGAACCAGCCAAGUAGCGUGCAGGAAGACGGCCCUAUGGGUUGUAAACUGCUUUUAUAAGAGAAUAAAGUGAGUCUCGUGAGACUUUUUGCAUGUACCUUAUGAAUAAGGACCGGCUAAUUCCGUGCCAGCAGCCGCGGUAAUACGGAAGGUCCGGGCGUUAUCCGGAUUUAUUGGGUUUAAAGGGAGCGUAGGCCGGAGAUUAAGCGUGUUGUGAAAUGUAGACGCUCAACGUCUGCACUGCAGCGCGAACUGGUUUCCUUGAGUACGCACAAAGUGGGCGGAAUUCGUGGUGUAGCGGUGAAAUGCUUAGAUAUCACGAAGAACUCCGAUUGCGAAGGCAGCUCACUGGAGCGCAACUGACGCUGAAGCUCGAAAGUGCGGGUAUCGAACAGGAUUAGAUACCCUGGUAGUCCGCACGGUAAACGAUGGAUGCCCGCUGUUGGUCUGAAUAGGUCAGCGGCCAAGCGAAAGCAUUAAGCAUCCCACCUGGGGAGUACGCCGGCAACGG
rnacentral:rRNA from 1 species